AGGAAUGUAGUUAAACUAAACAUUUUCUUUGCAAGAAAAAAAUAUUGAUAUUCAAUUAUUCUUA
rnacentral:tRNA from 1 species